AGUGAACGCUGGCGGUAGGCCUAACACAUGCAAGUCGAACGGCAGCACAGGAGAGCUUGCUCUCUGGGUGGCGAGUGGCGGACGGGUGAGGAAUACAUCGGAAUCUACUCUGUCGUGAGGGAUAACGUAGGGAAACUUACGCUAAUACCGCAUACGACCUACGGGUGAAAGCAGGGGAACUUCGGGCCUUGCGCGAUUGAAUGAGCCGAUGUCGGAUUAGCUAGUUGGCGGGGUAAAGGACCACCAAGGCGACGAUCCGUAGCUGGUCUGAGAGGAUGAUCAGCCACACUGGAACUGAGACACGGUCCAGACUCCUACGGGAGGCAGCAGUGGGGAAUAUUGGACAGUGGGCGCAAGCCUGAUCCAGCCAUACCGCGUGGGUGAAGAAGGCCUUCGGGUUGUAAAGCCCUUUUGUUGGGAAAGAAAUCCAGCUGGCUAAUACCCGGUUGGGAUGACGGUACCCAAAGAAUAAGCACCAGCUAACUUCGUGCCAGCCGCCGCAGUAA
rnacentral:rRNA from 1 species